rnacentral:rRNA from 1 species
UACGGAGGAGGCAAGCGUUAUCCGGAAUUAUUGGGCGUAAAGAGCUCGUAGGCGGCUUGUCGCGUCGACUGUGAAAACCCGUGGCUCAACCAUGUGGUCUGCAGUCGAUACGGGCAGGCUAGAAUUCGGUAGGGGAGACUGGAAUUCCUGGUGUAGCGGUGAAAUGCGCAGAUAUCAGGAGGAACACCGGUGGCGAAGGCGGGUCUCUGGGCCGAUAUUGACGCUGAGGAGCGAAAGCGUGGGGAGCGAACAGG